ACAAGGAGCAAUCUGAGGUGGCGACCGGCGCACGGGUGAGUAACACGUAUGCAACCUGCCUGUAAGCGGGGAAGUAACCCGUUGAAAGACGGACUAAUACCGCAUAAUACUAAAUUACUGCAUGGUAAUUUAUUUAAACAUUUAUGGCUUACAGAUGGGCAUGCGCAUGAUUAGCUAGUUGGAGAGGUAACGGCUCCCCAAGGCAACGAUCAUUAGGGGUUCUGAGAGGAAGGUCCCCCCACACUGGUACUGAGACACGGACCAGACUCCUACGGGAGGCAGCAGUGAGGAAUAUUGGUCAAUGGACGAGAGCCUGAACCAGCCAAGUCGCGUGCAGGAAGAAUUGUCCUAUGGAUUGUAAACUGCUUUUGCAGGGGAAUAAAGUGCAUCACGUGUGAUGUUUUGUAUGUACUCUGCGAAUAAGGAUCGGCUAACUCCGUGCCAGCCGCCGC
rnacentral:rRNA from 1 species